GAUGAACGCUGGCGGCGUGCUUAACACAUGCAAGUCGAACGGAACUUAUUGGAUCAAGACUUCGGUCAAGUGAAUUUAAGUUUAGUGGCGGACGGGUGAGUAACGCGUGAGGAACCUGCCUCGGAGUGGGGAAUAACAGUUGGAAACAGCUGCUAAUACCGCAUGAUGUGUACGGAUCGCAUGGGCUGUACACCAAAGAUUUAUCGCUCUGAGAUGGCCUCGCGUCUGAUUAGCUUGUUGGCGGGGUAACGGCCCACCAAGGCGACGAUCAGUAGCCGGACUGAGAGGUUGGCCGGCCACAUUGGGACUGAGACACGGCCCAGACUCCUACGGGAGGCAGCAGUGGGGAAUAUUGGGCAAUGGGCGCAAGCCUGACCCAGCAACGCCGCGUGAAGGAAGAAGGCUUUCGGGUUGUAAACUUCUUUUGUCAGGGACGAACAAAUGACGGUACCUGACGAAUAAGCCACGGCUAACUACGUGCCAGCAGCCGCCGUAACAC
rnacentral:rRNA from 1 species